CACACGUCAUACAAUGGCUGGUACAAAGGGUUGCCAACCCGCGAGGGGGAGCUAAUCCCAUAAAGCCAGUCGUAGUCCGGAUCGCAGUCUGCAACUCGACUGCGUGAAGUCGGAAUCGCUAGUAAUCGUGGAUCAGAAUGUCACGGUGAAUACGUUCCCGGGUCUUGUACACACCGCCCGUCACACCAUGGGAGCGGGUUCUGCCAGAAGUAGUUAGCCUAACCGCAAGGAGGGCGAUUACCACGGCAGGGUUCGUGACUGGGGUGAAGUCGUAACAAGGUAGCCGUAUCGGAAGGUGCGGCUGGAUCACCUCCUUUCU
rnacentral:rRNA from 1 species